UGGGGAAUAUUGGACAAUGGGCGCAAGCCUGAUCCAGCCAUGCCGCGUGUGUGAAGAAGGCCUUAUGGUUGUAAAGCACUUUAAGCGAGGAGGAGGCUACUUUAGUUAAUACCUAGAGAUAGUGGACGUUACUCGCAGAAUAAGCACCGGCUAACUCUGUGCCAGCAGCCGCGGUAAUACAGAGGGUGCAAGCGUUAAUCGGAUUUACUGGGCGUAAAGCGCGCGUAGGCGGCUAAUUAAGUCAAAUGUGAAAUCCCCGAGCUUAACUUGGGAAUUGCAUUCGAUACUGGUUAGCUAGAGGGUGGGAGAGGAUGGUAGAAUUCCAGGUGUAGCGGUGAAAUGCGUAGAGAUCUGGAGGAAUACCGAUGGCGAAGGCAGCCAUCUGGCCUAACACUGACGCUGAGGUGCGAAAGCAUGGGGAGCAAACAGG
rnacentral:rRNA from 1 species